rnacentral:piRNA from 1 species
UGCCCAGUCCAGAAAACUUGGAGAUGUGCA